UAGGGAAUCUUCCGCAAUGGACGCAAGUCUGACGGAGCAACGCCGCGUGAGUGAAGAAGGAUUUCGGUUCGUAAAACUCUGUUGUUAGAGAAGAACAGCGCAUAGAGUAACUGUUAUGCGUGUGACGGUAUCUAACCAGAAAGCCACGGCUAACUACGUGCCAGCAGCCGCGGUAAUACGUAGGUGGCAAGCGUUGUCCGGAUUUAUUGGGCGUAAAGCGAGCGCAGGCGGUCAAUUAAGUCUGAUGUGAAAGCCCCCGGCUCAACCGGGGAGGGUCAUUGGAAACUGGUUGACUUGAGUGCAGAAGAGGAGAGUGGAAUUCCAUGUGUAGCGGUGAAAUGCGUAGAUAUAUGGAUGAACACCAGUGGCGAAGGCGACUCUCUGGUCUGUAACUGACGCUGAGGUUCGAAAGCGUGGGUAGCAAACAGG
rnacentral:rRNA from 1 species